rnacentral:rRNA from 1 species
AGUGAACGCUGGCGGUAGGCCUAACACAUGCAAGUCGAACGGCAGCACAGUAAGAGCUUGCUCUUACGGGUGGCGAGUGGCGGACGGGUGAGGAAUACAUCGGAAUCUACUUUUUCGUGGGGGAUAACGUAGGGAAACUUACGCUAAUACCGCAUACGACCUACGGGUGAAAGCAGGGGAUCUUCGGACCUUGCGCGAUUGAAUGAGCCGAUGUCGGAUUAGCUAGUUGGCGGGGUAAAGGCCCACCAAGGCGACGAUCCGUAGCUGGUCUGAGGGGAUGAUCAGCCACACUGGAACUGAGGCACGGUCCAGACUCCUACGGGAGGCAGCAGUGGGGAAUAUUGGACAAUGGGCGCAAGCCUGAUCCAGCCAUACCGCGUGGGUGAAGAAGGCCUUCGGGUUGUAAAGCCCUUUUGUUGGGAAAGAAAAGCAGCAGGUUAAUACCCCGCUGUUCUGACGGUACCCAAAGAAUAAGCACCGGCUAACUUCGUG